AUCUCUUGGAGGAGCCAUCUUCAGUUCUUCAAUAUCUUCCCAAAUUAAAACUUCUUAGACUUUGGGAAGCCUACAAAGCAAAGCUCAUUGGUAAAGAGUUUUGCGAUGUAGGUGGAUUUCCGGAGCUGGAAACUUUGAUAAUUAUUUCACAGAAUCUAGUGGAGUGGACGGAAAUUGUAAAUGGUGCUUUUCCAAGUUUGAGGU
rnacentral:misc_RNA from 1 species